GGUGAACGCUAGCGGGAGGCCUAACACAUGCAAGCCGAGCGGUAUUGUUUCUUCGGAAAUGAGAGAGCGGCGUACGGGUGCGUAACACGUGUGCAACCUGCCUUUAUCUGGGGGAUAGCCUUUCGAAAGGAAGAUUAAUACUCCAUAAUAUAUUGAACGGCAUCGUUUAAUAUUGAAAGCUCCGGCGGCUAGAGAUGGGCACGCGCAAGAUUAGCUAGUUGGUGAGGUAACGGCUCACCAAGGCGAUGAUCUUUAGGGGGCCUGAGGGGGUGAUCCCCCAACAGGGAAAUAGGACCCGGACCCGACGCCGAGGGGGGGGCGGGGAGGGGAAAAUGUGGAGGGGAGGGCAGGCCAGAACCACCCGCCCCGGGGGAAGGGCACCUCCCCUUUGGUUUUGAAUUUUUUUUUGUAAAGGAAUAAACCCCCCCCUGUGGGGGGUGCUGAGGGUACUAAACGAAAAAGCACCGGCUAACCCCGU
rnacentral:rRNA from 1 species